GAGUUUGAUUAUGGCUCAGGAUAAACGCUGGCGGCGUGCAUGAGACAUGCAAGUCGAACGGACGAUCAGGGCUUGCUCUGAUCGUUAGUGGCGGACGGCUGAGUAACGCGUAGGUGACCUGCCCCGAAGUGGGGAAUAACUGCCCGAAAGGGUGGCUAAUACCGCAUGUGGUGAUGCCUUCACUGGCAUCAGUAAAGCCGCAAGGCGCUUCGGGAGGGGCCUGCGUCCGAUUAGCUCGUUGGUGGGGUAACGGCUCACCAAGGCGACGAUCGGUAGGUGGUCUGAGAGGACGAUCACCCAGACUGGGACUGAGACACGGCCCAGACUCCUACGGGAGGCAGCAGUUAGGAAUUUUGGGCAAUGGGCGAAAGCCUGACCCAGCAACGCCGCGUGGGUGAAGAAGGCCUUCGGGUCGUAAAGCCCUUUUCCAGGGGAAGAUAAUGACGGUACCCUGGGAAUCAGCCCCGGCUAACUACGUGCCAGCAGCCGCGGUAAUACGUAGGGGGCAAGCGUUGUCCGGAUUUAUUGGGCGUAAAGCGCUCGCAGGUGGUUCAUAGCGUCGUGCGUGAAAGACCCCGGCUCAACUGGGGAGGGUCGUGCGAAACGGGUGAACUAGAGGCCAGUAGGGGGAUGCGGAAUUCCGGGUGUAGUGGUGGAAUGCGUAGAGAUCCGGAGGAACACCAGCGGCGAAGGCGGCAUCCUGGACUGGUCCUGACACUCAGGAGCGAAAGCGUGGGGAGCGAUCCGGAUUAGAUACCCGGGUAGUCCACGCUGUAAACGAUGAGUACUAGGUGUUGGGGGUAUCGACCCCCUCAGUGCCGAAGCUAACGCGAUAAGUACUCCGCCUGGGGACUACGGCCGCAAGGCUAAAACUCAAAUGAAUUGACGGGG
rnacentral:rRNA from 1 species